AAGGUAAACUAGGCAAUCGCAUAUAAAUAAAUUAUGUUAAUAACUUAUUUAUAUGAGGAAAGUCCGGACUCCAAACGAAAUAAAGGUACCUUAGGAGAUGAAAAUCAACUAAGGGGGGCGUAAGCCUAUGGAUAGUGCCACAGAAAAUAACCGCCAAUUUAAUUACUUUUAUUGUAAUGAAAAUUAUAAUAAAUUGUAAAACUUUGGUAAGGGUGAAAAUGUGAGGUAAGAGCUCACGGUGCAAAUUAGUAAUACUUUGCAGUCGGUAAACCCUACCUGGAGCAAGACAAAUAGAGUACUUCGGCUAAUUCGUUGCCAAUUAAGUAUUCGGGUAUGUUGCUUAGAUAAAUGGUUGCCACUUUAAAAAUUGAUAUUUUUGAAGAACAGAAUCCGGCUUAUAGGAGACCUUUAGU
rnacentral:RNase_P_RNA from 2 species